rnacentral:rRNA from 1 species
AAAGAGGAUUCGUCCAAUUGAAGCAGAGGACAGUGGCGGACGGGUGAGUAACGCGUGAGGAACCUGCCUCAAAGAGGGGGACAACAGUUGGAAACGACUGCUAAUACCGCAUAAGCCCACGGUACCGCAUGGCACUGAGGGAAAAGGAUUUAUUCGCUUUAGGAUGGACUCGCGUCCAAUUAGCUAGUUGGUGAGGUAACGGCCCACCAAGGCGACGAUCAGUAGCCGGACUGAGAGGUUGAACGGCCACAUUGGGACUGAGAUACGGCCCAGACUCC